rnacentral:rRNA from 1 species
CCUACGGGCGGCAGCAGUGGGGAAUAUUGGACAAUGGGGGCAACCCUGAUCCAGCCAUGCCGCGUGUGUGAUGAAGGCCCUCGGGUUGUAAAGCACUUUCAGUGAGGAAGAACGCCUGGUGGUUAAUACCCAUCAGGAAAGACAUCACUCACAGAAGAAGCACCGGCUAACUCCGUGCCAGCAGCCGCGGUAAUACGGAGGGUGCGAGCGUUAAUCGGAAUUACUGGGCGUAAAGCGCGCGUAGGUGGCUUGAUAAGCCGGUUGUGAAAGCCCCGGGCUCAACCUGGGAACGGCAUCCGGAACUGUCAAGCUAGAGUGCAGGAGAGGAAGGUAGAAUUCCCGGUGUAGCGGUGAAAUGCGUAGAGAUCGGGAGGAAUACCAGUGGCGAAGGCGGCCUUCUGGACUGACACUGACACUGAGGUGCGAAAGCGUGGGUAGCAAACAGGAUUAGAUACCCUAGUAGUC